UGGUGACUUUGGACAGAAUUUCAUCAUAUCAGAUAACAAGAUGCAAACGAAUAUAUUUAGUCCUUUAUGUUCAGUUGCCAAUUAUUCCAUGCACUGAAUAUCUGGAAUAAUGGAGGUGCACUGUUCCAAUUGUUUUUCAUUUUCCAUCUCUUUUAUGCCAUGUCUCUGACGUGCAUAGUGCUAGAGACUAUAUGAUUAAAAAAUAAUGCUUUUGCAAAAAGGUAAAUAACUUUGUGCCACAAAUGGAUUUGUUCAACAUUUGAAUAGCUUUGGGACUUGUUAAAUUCUUGACAAGAGAAAGGUGAUAUGAUAAAUCCAAAAGAUUAUUUCCAGGUUAUCGUAACUUGGCAAUUAUGUGUGUAAGAAUUCUCAAAUUUGCAUCCUCAAAAUUUUUUAUUGCCAUUUUUUCUUAAGGCCAUUUCCUUUGGAUUCUAUUAAUGUGACUGAGAAGAAAUCUGUUGGAGAAAUUAUAGCAAGAGUAAAAGCAACAGAUUGAGAUGAAGAUAGCAGUAUCAUUUAUUCCUUUAAGACUCAGCAGAAAAUGUUUGGUUUGGACCCCUCCACAGGAACAAUCACUCUUCUUCCAGCCUUUGAAUCUUGACAACCCAAGUAACUCCAAAAUCUACUCUUUGGAAAUUGAGGCAACAAAUAAUGGGAAUAAUACCAGCAGCUAUAUGUUUACAGUUUUUGUGGAGAAUGUAGAUGAUCCUAUUUCCUGUGAUCCAAGUUUUUCUACAGGAGCAGGUGUUUCAGUGUCUGUUCCUGAAAAUAUUCCUGCAUCUACUUUUAUAUAUAUGAUUCUUUCAAGAGAUCCAGAUCUAGGACAGGAAGUUGAAUUUUUAAUAUUAAAUUUUUCAGUUAAUGCCACUGCCUACUUUGCUUUGGAUUCACGUAAUGGUGUCAUUUCUAAAACCACUGAACCUCUUUUGGACUAUGAAACAAAUCCUAAGGUGAGACUAAAUAUCAAACAAUGAAUACCUUUAAAUACCCUUCAAUAAAAUAAUUUUUAAAAACUUAUCUAAGUUGAAAUAAAAAGUAAUCAAAUUUAUAUAAUUGCAUUUUCAUAGUCACCCAGAUCAAGCAGAAAUUCAUUUUAAAAGAAAAUAAAUUUAGGCGCUUAUGUGAUUCAUUAUGUGUACUUUUUCAUUAGACCUUAGUUAAAUAUCAUUUCAAUCGUUGUGUGUGUUUCUGUGGGUGUGUAUAAAAGUUGGAGAAGGGAUUAUCUCCAUAUUCAACAGCAUGGAACAGAGGCAAUGUUCUGGGUAAUUAACUAAAAGUACACUUCUUUAGUCUUGAAUUAUCUGAAAAAGUGCCUCUCUCUUUGGCUUUAUGUGAUUGUGGAGACCUGGUGUGGCCUUUUUUCCCUGCAAUGUCCUGAUCAAAUUUAAAAUUUGCGAAUAAUUGGAAAGAAGAGUGAGGUAUAAGGAGAAGAAAACACGUAACAUAUCAUUUUUUCCUACCAAAUCAUCCUGGAAAAUGAGACCAUUUAAAUGUCAAAUGUUUUCCAGUUUCUUUAAGCAAUUCUGGACAUUUCCAAUAGUAGACUUAUCAGGCUAUUGUUGUUGUUGUUGUUGUGUUUUUUAUUUGUUUGUUUGUUUAACAUCAUCUUAACUAAAACAUGACUUUCUAAACUGCAAAUAUUUUGACCAGCACUUAUCUCACUAUGUGAGAGUUAAAGAAAUAAAAGAAAGAAAACAGCUAUUUUUCCACGAUAUUUGGCUAGUUGCUUGUAAGAAUACUUUUCACCCUGGUGUUAUAGGAUCGUUUCUCCUAUAGUCAAUUUUGUUGUUUUCCAUUCACUCCUAAACAAAUUGCCUUUUUUCUUUUUGUUUCUUUGUUCUCUCAUACAAAGUUCAGGAUUAAGUUUAUUUAGAAGGUGCAUAAUGACAUUUUGAUUUUAUUUAUUUAUUUUUAUGUAUUUAUUUUGGGAUGGAGUUUCACUCUCGUUGCCCAGGCUGGAGUGCAAUGGGGCAAUCUCUGCUUACUGCAACCUCCGCCCCCCAGGUUCAAGUGAUUCUCCUGCCUCAGCCUCCUGAGUUAGUGGGACUAUAGGCACCUGCCGUCAGGCAUGGCUAAUUUUGUAGAGACAGGGUUUCGCCAUGUUGGUCAGGCUGGUCUCGCACUCCUAACCACAGGUGAUCCACCCACCUCAGCCUCCCAAAGUGCUAUGAUUACAGGUGUGAGCCACCGUGCCCAGCCAACAUUUUGAUUUUAAUUGUACUUAAUUCAUAAAUUAUACUAGAGAGAACUGACAUUUUUAUCAUCAUAAACCUAGCAAAUUCAUGUAUUUAUUUAACAAUUUUAUUUGAAUCCUUCAAUAAGAUUUUGUAUUUUCUCUAUAAAGUUCUUACACAUCAUAUGUUUAACAUUCCUUGAGUUUUAUUGUAAAUUCUUGU
rnacentral:lncRNA from 10 species